rnacentral:rRNA from 1 species
GAUGAACGCUGGCGGCGUGCUUAACACAUGCAAGUCGAACGGAAAGGCCCAAGCUUGCUUGGGUACUCGAGUGGCGAACGGGUGAGUAACACGUGGGUGAUCUGCCCUGCACUUCGGGAUAAGCCUGGGAAACUGGGUCUAAUACCGGAUAGGACCACUUCUUGGAUGUUGUGGUGGAAAGUUUUUUCGGUGUGGGAUGAGCUCGCGGCCUAUCAGCUUGUUGGUGGGGUAAUGGCCUACCAAGGCGUCGACGGGUAGCCGGCCUGAGAGGGUGUACGGCCACAUUGGGACUGAGAUACGGCCCAGACUCCUACGGGAGGCAGCAGUGGGGAAUAUUGCACAAUGGGCGCAAGCCUGAUGCAGCGACGCCGCGUGGGGGAUGACGGCCUUCGGGUUGUAAACUCCUUUCGCUAGGGACGAAGCGUUCUGUGACGGUACCUGGAGAAGAAGCACCGGCUAACUACGUG